CCUACGGGAGACAGCAGUGAGGAAUAUUGGUCAAUGGGCGCUAGCCUGAACCAGCCAAGUAGCGUGAAGGAUGACUGCCCUAUGGGUUGUAAACUUCUUUUAUAUGGGAAUAAAGUGCAGUAUGUAUACUGCUUUGCAUGUACCCUAUGAAUAAGGAUCGGCUAACCCCGUGCCAGCAGCAGCGGUAAUACGGAGGAUCCGAGUGUUAUCCGGAUUUAUUGGGUUUAAAGGGAGCGUAGGCGGGUUGUUAAGUCAGUUGUGAAAGUUUGGGGCUCAACCUUAAAAUUGCAGUUGAUACUGGCAUCCUUGAGUACAGUAGAGGUAGGCGGAAUUCGUGGUGUAGCGGUGAAAUGCUUAGAUAUCACGAGGAACACCGAUUGCGAAGGCAGCCUGCUGGACUGUAACUGACGCUGAUGCGCGAAAGUGUGGGUAGCAAACAGGAUUAGAUACCCUGGUAGUC
rnacentral:rRNA from 1 species